rnacentral:rRNA from 1 species
UACGAGGGGGUGCAAGCGUUUGCUCGGAAUUAUUGGGCGUAAAGCGCACGUAGGCGGUUCGUUAAGUCGGAUGUGAAAGCCCUCGGCUCAACUGAGGAAGUGCACCCGAAACUGGCGAGCUUGAGUACGAAAGAGGAUCGCGGAAUUCCCGGUGUAGAGGUGAAAUUCGUAGAUAUCGGGAGGAACACCGGCGGCGAAGGCGGCGAUCUGGGCCGAUACUGACGCUGAGGUGCGAAAGCGUGGGGAGCAAACAGG